GACGAACGCUGGCGGCGUGCUUAACACAUGCAAGUCGAACGGAAAGGCCCUGCUUUUGUGGGGUGCUCGAGUGGCGAACGGGUGAGUAACACGUGAGUAACCUGCCCUUGACUUUGGGAUAACUUCAGGAAACUGGGGCUAAUACCGGAUAGGAGCUCCUGCUGCAUGGUGGGGGUUGGAAAGUUUCGGCGGUUGGGGAUGGACUCGCGGCUUAUCAGCUUGUUGGUGGGGUAGUGGCUUACCAAGGCUUUGACGGGUAGCCGGCCUGAGAGGGUGACCGGCCACAUUGGGACUGAGAUACGGCCCAGACUCCUACAGGAGGCAGCAGUGGGGAAUAGUGCACAAUGGGCGGAAGCCUGAUGCAGCAACGCCGCGUGCGGGAUGACGGCCUUCGGGUUGUAAACCGCUUUCGCCUGUGACGAAGCGUGAGUGACGGUAAUGGGUAAAGAAGCACCGGCUAACUACGUG
rnacentral:rRNA from 1 species